rnacentral:rRNA from 1 species
AUUGAACGCUGUCGGCAGGCCUAACACAUGCAAGUCGAACGAGUGGCGGACGGGUGAGUAAUGUCUGGGAAACUGCCUGAAGGAGGGGGAUAACUAAUGGAAACGGUAGCUCAUACCGCAUACCAUCAGAUGUGCCCAGAUGGGAUUAGCUUGUUGGUGGGGUAACUGCUAACCAAGGCGACGAUCACUAGCUGGUCUGAGUGGAUGACCAGCCAAAGUGGAACUGAGACACGUUCCAGACGCCUACGGGAGGAAGCAGUGGGGAGUAUUGCACAAUGGGCGAAGGCCUGAUGCAGCCAUGCCGCGGGUAUGAAGAAGGCCUUCGGGUUGUAAAGUAAUUUCAGCGGGGAGGCGUUACCCGCAGAAGAAGCAGCGGCUAACUCCGUGGCAGCAGCCGCGGUAAUAC